GGAGGGUGCAAGCGUUAAUCGGAAUUACUGGGCGUAAAGCGCACGCAGGCGGUUUGUUAAGUCAGAUGUGAAGUCCCCGGGCUCAACCUGGGAACUGCAUCUGAUACUGGCAAGCUUGAGUCUCGUAGAGGGGGGUAGAAUUCCAGGUGUAGCGGUGAAAUGCGUAGAGAUCUGGAGGAAUACCGGUGGCGAAGGCGGCCCCCUGGACGAAGACUGACGCUCAGGUGCGAAAGCGUGGGGAGCAAACAGGGAUUAGAUACCCUGGUAGUCCACGCCGUAAACGAUGUCGACUUGGAGGUUGUGCCCUUGAGGCGUGGCUUCCGGAGCUAACGCGCUAAGUCGACCGCCUGGGGAGUACGGCCGCAAGGUUA
rnacentral:rRNA from 1 species